rnacentral:rRNA from 1 species
AUUGAGCGCUGGCGGCAUGCCUUACACAUGCAAGUCGAACGGCAGCACGGGAGCAAUCCUGGUGGCGAGUGGCGAACGGGUGAGUAAUGUAUCGGAACGUGCCCAGUCGUGGGGGAUAACGUAGCGAAAGCUACGCUAAUACCGCAUACGAUCUAUGGAUGAAAGCGGGGGAUCGCAAGACCUCGCGCGAUUGGAGCGGCCGAUAUCAGAUUAGGUAGUUGGUCGGGCAAAGGCCCACCAAGCCUGCGAUCUGUAGCUGGUCUGAGAGGACGUCCAGCCACCCUGGAACUGAGCCACUGUCCAGACUCCUACGGGAUGAACCAUUGGGGAAUUUUGGACAAUGCGCGCAAGCCUGAUCCAGCUAUGCCGCGGGCAGGAUGAUUACCUUCGGGUUGUACACUGCUUUUGUACUGAACUAAACGGCUUUUUCUAAUACAUAGAGCUAAUGACGGUACCGUAAGCAUAAGCACCGGCUAACUACGUGCCAGCCGCCGCAGUAA